rnacentral:rRNA from 1 species
UAAGUAUAAGCAAUUAUACGGCGAGACUGCGAAUGGCUCAUUAAAACAGUUAUAGUUUAUUUGCUAGACGUUUAUAUGGAUAACCGUAGUAAUUCUAGAGCUAAUACAUGCUGGUUACGCUGUGCGUAGUAUUUAUUAGAUAAAACCCAACGGGGGCGACCCUGUGGAGGAAUCAUAAUAAC